GCCUGGGUGGCUCAGUCGGUUAAGCGUCCGACUUUGGCUCAGGUCAUGAUCUCGCGGUUCGUGGGUUCGAGCCCCAUGUCAGGCU
rnacentral:tRNA from 1 species